rnacentral:rRNA from 1 species
UACGUAGGGGGGCGAGCGUUGUCCGGAUUUAUUUGGGCGUAAAGAGCUCGUAGGCGGUUCGGUAAGUCGGAUGUGAAAUCUCCACGCUCAACGUGGAGGGGCCAUUCGAUACUGCCGUGACUCGAGUCCGGUAGGGGAGUGUGGAAUUCCCGGUGUAGCGGUGGAAAUGACGCAGAGAUGGGAGGAACACCCGUAGCGAAGGCGGCACUCUGGGCCGGUACUGACGCUGAGGAGCGAAAGCGUGGGGAGCGAACAGG